rfam:Opisthorchis viverrini opera_v5_296.7, whole genome shotgun sequence.
GGCGUUGGUGGAGUAGUGGUUACUCGCUCGCCUCGCAUGUCAGAUGUCCGCGGUUCGAAUCCCGGCACGGCCA